UACGAACUGUGCGAACGUUAUUCGGAAUCACUGGGCUUACAGGGUGCGUAGGCGGCCUUUCAAGUCAGGUGUGAAAGCCCUCGGCUCAACCGAGGAACUGCGCUUGAAACUGAAGGGCUCGAGUCAGCUAGAGGUGCACGGAACUUCCAGUGGAGCGGUGAAAUGUGUUGAUAUUGGCAGGAACGCCGGUGGCGAAAGCGACACACUGGGUCUCAACUGACGCUGAGGCACGAAAGCCAGGGGAGCGAACGGG
rnacentral:rRNA from 1 species